AUAAAAAAUCACUUGAUAAUUUAAAAACAGUGUUAUCAUUAGUUUGUCCAGCAGACUCCAUUGUUUAUAAUACUUUGUAUAGCACAUGAGUUGGCAGAGUAGCAUAUCACAGCUGAGCAGAUGGUGGAGCGGAUUGUGUUAAGAAGUUAAGAAGUUUAUUGUUCAACUGUAUAAUAUCAGACAUCCAGUUACAUAUCUUUAUUACAACCA